AUUGAACGCUGGCGGCAGGCCUAACACAUGCAAGUCGAGCGGAUGAAGGGUGCUUGCUCCGGGAUUCAGCGGCGGACGGGUGAGUAAUGCCCAGGAAUCUGCCGGGCUGGGGGGUAGAACGUCCGCAAACGGGCGCGAAUACCGCAUACGACCUGAGGGUGCAACUGGGGGAGCUUCGGACCUCACGCUAUCAGAUGAGCCUAGGUCGGAUUAGCUAGUUGGUGGGGUAAAGGCCUACCAAGGCGACGAUCCGUAACUGGUCUGAGAGGAUGAUCGGUCACACUGGAACUGAGACACGGUCCAGACUCCUACGGGAGGCAGCAGUGGGGAAUAUUGGACAAUGGGCGAAAGCCUGAUCCAGCCAUGCCGCGUGUGUGAAGAAGGUCUUCGGAUUGUAAAGCACUUUAAGUUGGGAGGAAGGGCAGUAAGUUAAUACCUUGCUGUUUUGACGUUACCAACAGAAUAAGCACCGGCUAACUUCGUG
rnacentral:rRNA from 1 species